GACGGGGUGACCGAGUGGUUAAGGUGCUGGACUGCUAAUUGAUAGGAUCCGUCCUAGAACAGCAGAGAUCCAGUGGGAGUUUUCCCGCGUGAGUUCGAAUCUCAUCCUCGUCG
rnacentral:tRNA from 1 species